UUCAGCAUGCAAUCUGUGUGGGAAAUCCUACUAAUGGAAGAAAAAGAAUUGCCAAACCAGGACAAGAAAUUCAAGUUUUAAGUCAAUACAGGAAGCUAUGCAAUGCUGGUUUUCCUCAUCUGUAAAUAGCUGGCUGGCUCUGCUGCUUACACUAACUGACUGAUCAAGCAGAUUAUUCAUAUCUCCCACUCUAAGAAGGAGCUUUAAAACCUGGCUGGGCAUAUCUGAUGAGUUUAAAAAAAGGACAUACAGAAGUUUCUAUUUUUGUUUUUAAUUUGGUGGCAUUAUUAUUUUAUUUUCAGGAGUACACAUUUCUUAUUUUCUUUCUUUAUUUUAUUGUAAUAAGUGAGAGAGAUGCAGCUGCUUUUUAAGAAGUGGCAAAACUCCAGCAAAGGCGAGAUAAAUUAAAUCUAAAACUCAAAACUUCUUGGAGGUGCUCUUCAGAUCAGAAAUUAUCUACACAGAUCAAGAAAAAGAGAGCAAUCAGAGUACCAGUGGAACAGAUAAAGGAUACUUUAUCCAGAUUGCCCAGAAAAAAACACUGAACA